rnacentral:lncRNA from 1 species
CAGAGCAGUCGCCGGUUGUGUCUGGGAGAGAGUGACAUCCCCUGUUGUGGGCUUCUCCAUGUUGUACAUUCUGCUGGCAUCGGCUCAGCAUAGAUGUGCAUGAAGAAAUAGCGCUUGUGGGGAAGGCACGGCGGACCCACAGGAGACGGAGCGACACACCGGCCGCUCUGAGGUCGGCAGACCCCACCCAGGCUGUGGAACAGGAAG